GACGAACGCUGGCGGCGUGCUCAACACAUGCAAGUCGAACGGAAAGGCCCUGCUUUUGUGGGGUGCUCGAGUGGCGAACGGGUGAGUAACACGUGAGUAACCUGCCCUUGACUUUGGGAUAACUUCAGGAAACUGGGGCUAAUACCGGAUAGGAGCUCCUGCUGCAUGGUGGGGGUUGGAAAGUUUCGGCGGUUGGGGAUGGACUCGCGGCUUAUCAGCUUGUUGGUGGGGUAGUGGCUUACCAAGGCUUUGACGGGUAGCCGGCCUGAGAGGGUGACCGGCCACAUUGGGACUGAGAUACGGCCCAGACUCCUACGGGAGGCAGCAGUGGGGAAUAUUGCACAAUGGGCGGAAGCCUGAUGCAGCAACGCCGCGUGCGGGAUGACGGCCUUCGGGUUGUAAACCGCUUUCGCCUGUGACGAAGCGUGAGUGACGGUAAUGGGUAAAGAAGCACCGGCUAACUACGUG
rnacentral:rRNA from 1 species